UAGGGAAUCUUCCACAAUGGGCGCAAGCCUGAUGGAGCAACAUCGCGUGAGUGAAGAAGGGUUUCGGCUCGUAAAGCUCUGUUGUUAAAGAAGAACACGUAUGAGAGUAACUGUUCAUACGUUGACGGUAUUUAACCAGAAAGUCACGGCUAACUACGUGCCAGCAGCCGCGGUAAUACGUAGGUGGCAAGCGUUAUCCGGAUUUAUUGGGCGUAAAGAGAGUGCAGGCGGUUUUCUAAGUCUGAUGUGAAAGCCUUCGGCUUAACCGGAGAAGUGCAUCGGAAACUGGAUAACUUGAGUGCAGAAGAGGGUAGUGGAACUCCAUGUGUAGCGGUGGAAUGCGUAGAUAUAUGGAAGAACACCAGUGGCGAAGGCGGCUACCUGGUCUGCAACUGACGCUGAGACUCGAAAGCAUGGGUAGCGAACAGGAUUAGAUACCCUGGUAGUCCAUGCCGUAAACGAUGAGUGCUAGGUGUUGGAGGGUUUCCGCCCUUCAGUGCCGGAGCUAACGCAUUAAGCACUCCGCCUGGGGAGUACGACCGCAAGGUUG
rnacentral:rRNA from 1 species